GGGACAGUGGCAGAACGGAUAACGCGCCUGACUACGAAUCAGGAUAUUUCCUGUUCGACUUCUGGCUGGCUCG